AGCAGCCGCGGUAAUUCCAGCUCCAAUAGCGUAUAUUAAAGUUGUUGCAGUUAAAAAGCUCGUAGUUGAAUUUCGGGAUCGAAUUGUUGGUCGUGCUUCGGUACGCACUGGCAUUAUCGGUUUCUACCUUCUGAAGAACCGCGAUGUCAUUAAUUUGGUGUCGUGGGGAAUCAGGACUGUUACUUUGAAAAAGUUAGAGUGUUUAAAGCAGGCUUACGCUUGAAUACAUUAGCAUGGAAUAAUGAAAUAGGACGUUUGAUUCUAUUUUGUUGGUUUCUAGGAUCGACGUAAUGAUUAAUAGGGAUAGUUGGGGGCAUUAGUAUUCAAUUGUCAGAGGUGAAAUUCUUGGAUUUAUUGAAGACUAACUACUGCGAAAGCAUUUGCCAAGGAUGUUUUCAUUAAUCAAGAACGAAAGUUAGGGGAUCGAAGACGAUCAGAUACCGUCGUAGUCUUAACCAUAAACUAUGCCGACUAGGGAUCGGAUGAUGUUAAUUUUAUAAUGACUC
rnacentral:rRNA from 1 species